AAGUCGUAACAAGGUUUCCGUAGGUGAACCUGCGGAAGGAUCAUUAACACGUUAUCCAACGUAACUACCAACGCGCACUGUUUUCCCCUCUCUCCCGCUUUCCUCCAUGUAUCGGCUACGUGUAUGUGAGACGUUUGGCUGGGCUUCAUCCUCGCGCUGUUGCUAUGCUCACACACCGACCUGCGCGCCUUUUUGGGCGAGCUCACGAUAGUAGGAGGCCGCGGCUUUCUCCGCUGCGCAAUGCUGUAAAUCUCCAACCAAGAUUAUGGGCGUGCGCGGCACCUAUACCAUUUACACAAUUCUAACCCCCUUUUUGCUAGUUGACUUUUUAAUCUGUUGUGGCUCUUUCUUGAUUGAAAGGCUCAGCACGUUUGAUCUAAUUGAACGUUAAAAAAUACAACUCUUAGCAAUGGAUAUCUUGGUUCUC
rnacentral:misc_RNA from 1 species